rnacentral:rRNA from 1 species
UACGGAGGGGGCUAGCGUUGUUCGGAAUCAUUGGGCGUAAAGCGCGUGUAGGCGGCCCGAUAAGUCCGCUGUGAAAGUCCAGGGCUCAACCCUGGGAUGCCGGUGGAUACUGUCGGGCUCGAGUCCGGAAGAGGCGAGUGGAAUUCCUGGUGUAGCGGUGAAAUGCGCAGAUAUCGGGAGGAACACCAAUGGCGAAGGCAGCUCGCUGGGACGUGACUGACGCUGAGACGCGAAAGCGUGGGGAGCAAACAGG